CGGUGUUUAACUGGCGUGAUGUGGGACGUCCUACCGGUGGGCUUAGCCUCGCGAGGGGCGGCCCAACUAAUAUCCCGUCGCGGUGCUCUUUACUGAGUGUCGAGUCGGGCCGGUACGUUUACUUUGAACAAAUUAGAGUGCUUAAAGCAGGCUAUCCUCGCCUGAAUACUGCGUGCAUGGAAUAAUGGAAUAGGACCUCGGUUCUACUUUGUUGGUUUUCGGAACCCCGAGGUAAUGAUUAAUAGGGACAGAUGGGGGCAUUCGUAUUGCGACGUUAGAGGUGAAAAUUCUUGGAUCGUCGCAAGACGGACAGAAGCGAAAGCAUUUGCCAAAAAUGUUUUCAUUAAUCAAGAACGAAAGUUAGAGGUUCGAAGGCGAUCAGAUACCGCCCUAGUUCUAACCAUAAACGAUGCCAGCUAGCGAUCCGCCGAAGUUCCUCCGAUGACUCGGCGGGCAGCUUCCGGGAAACCAAAGCUUUUGGGUUCCGGGGGAAGUAUGGUUGCAAAGCUGAAACUUAAAGGAAUUGACGGAAGGGCACCACCAGGAGUGGAGCCUGCGGCUUAAUUUGACUCAACACGGGAAACCUCACCAGGCCCAGACACCGGAAGGAUUGACAGAUUGAUAGCUCUUUCUUGAUUCGGUGGGUGGUGGUGCAUGGCCGUUCUUAGUUGGUGGAGCGAUUUGUCUGGUUAAUUCCGAUAACGAACGAGACUCUAGCCUGCUAAAUAGGCGUACCUUAUGGUAUCGCGAAGGCCCCCGGCUUCGGCCGGUGGGUUUUUACUACCAACGUACAAACAAAUCUUCUUAGAGGGACAGGCGG
rnacentral:rRNA from 1 species